UACGGAGGGGGCUAGCGUUGUUCGGAAUUACUGGGCGUAAAGCGCGCGUAGGCGGAUCUGCAAGUCGGGGGUGAAAUCCCGAGGCUCAACCUCGGAACUGCCUUCGAUACUGCGGGUCUCGAGUCCGGGAGAGGUGAGUGGAAUUCCUAGUGUAGAGGUGAAAUUCGUAGAUAUUAGGAAGAACACCAGUGGCGAAGGCGGCUCACUGGCCCGGUACUGACGCGUGAGGCGGCGAAAAGCGUUGGGGAGCAAACAGG
rnacentral:rRNA from 1 species